GCGAAGCGAAAAUAAUAAUUAUACGAAAUUCAGCGAAAAUUAUCAAACCAUGUUAUCACAGCCUGAAUUGUAGUUGGUUGAGAUAACCGAUACACAUCGGAAUACACGAAACAUAUCAGCUGAGAUGAUGAUGAAUCAGACAAAUUCACUGUUAAACUUCAGAAUAAUGCACCCUAUACCACAAAGUACUGCAUGAGCUCCAUUAUCAUGCAGGAUUGAGAUAUCGGCUUUGGCGCCCUAUAUCUUGGGCGCUUUACAUUUAAUGGCCUGACCGGUCAGACCCGAAUUCUUUUCUCUGUAUCAAUGGAAAGAUCUGGUCUGUGUUUCUCAAAUAUCCAGAGAAAAUAGACCUCAUUCUAAUGUUAUCUAAAAUUACCGGUCAGAUAGGUCCGAAGCCCAAAUGUUUUGUGCUUCAUUCAACAAUUUGACUGGUCUGGCCGUGUUGAUGGAAUGCGCCCCUUGUUACCAAUGUUUUGCGUAUAUAAAGAUCUCUUAUGUUAUCUAAUAAAACUGAUAAAAAUGAUAACUAAUAAAAAUGAUAAAGCGCUCUAAAGCCCAUAUCUCACUCCCGGAAAAGAGACUUUAUAUAUAGGGAAAGCUGAGGCUCACUUAUGUUCAUAUUUGACACAACAUGCAGUCAUAAGGAAAUAAAGAGCAACACGGACAGUCGGUUUAUUUUGAAUCUUUCAUUUUUCAGAACAAUUGAAAUAUACAGUGUGUCGUCGAUAGUGAUAAAAGAUAAGUGAUUUAGAAGUAAGAUAUUUACUUAUUUAUUUUUUUUGUAUCAAUCCUUGAGAAACAAAAAUAAGUAAUAAGUUAUGAACAACAAGGGUGAAAGUUUUAGAAACAAGAUUAUUUAUUUCUGAUUACAAUAAAUGUAAAUAGGACCUAUUUAGUAUUUGUUAACCCCAUAAUAUCAGCUGCAUGUGUCAGUAUUCUGUAUAACUGACUCCUCUUAUCUAUACAUUAUUAUUCAUUUAUAUGUAAUAUAUUGUAUAGGUACUAUAGUAAGAGUAAGCUAAUUUUAACUAUAUAGAUUAUAGUACGUACAAAUAAGGAAAAAUUUGUGGUUAUAUAGCAUAUAUUGACCGAUUCGAAAACUGGCUACCAAAAUGUUAUUUUAUCUCUUAUGCAUUACUAUAUGCUAAUAAACAAUUUUUCAACCGAGACUGUUAUUUAAGGCGG